CUUUCUACACAACAUGCUUAUCAGGAAAAAUUAUAAAAUUUGAAGAAUUCUUGUCGUAAUUUGAAGUUACAACAAACUAAGGAAACAACUUGAAACAAAAAUACACGAAAUGGAAGAGGAGAAAGGAGGAGAGAGGAGGAGGAGCUGAAGAUUUGAACUUAUUGAAUGCUAAACUUGAAGCAGAUAAAGCUAAGCUUGAGCAUAAAGUGAUUGAGUUGAUGGCAGAAAGACAAUUAUUGGGAGAUUCUAUUUCUGUUCCAAAUUGAUUGGUCCUUUGGGUCCUAAGGAGUCAUUCAUUUUUGAUGAUUUGGAAGCUCUUUAUAAUUUUGAGAUCAGUUCCCAUGCUCAGACUGUAUCAAAUGCUAUCGAUUCAGUUGAUUUGAUUCUCCCUGAUUCUGAUUCUGAUACCACUGAAUAUUGUAGUGAUCUGGUCAUGAGAUUAGCCUCAUUGUUACGGAGUCAGACUAAAGCAAGAUGAUUAGAAUUGGAUGGUUUUAAGAAAGAGCACAGGUACACUGUACAUGU